rnacentral:rRNA from 1 species
AUGGGUGAUAUUGAGAACUCGCUCCCGGCUGCGGCGACGGCGGAGCGGAGCCGGCACGGCUUCUGGGCGUGGAAGGAGAGGUUCGUUCUCAACCACCUCACCCUCUACAAUCCUCACGACGACGACGAUGACGCCAACGGCGUCGGGAGUGCCGACGCCGACCAGCGCAGUAGGCGCAGAUUCCUAUGGUGGAUGACUCUGCUCGAAAUCGUCGUCGUCCUUGGCACUGCAUUACUCAUGGCGUGCAUCGAGCCGUCUACCGCCGGCCCGGCGGUGUACCUCGCCUCGCGCAUCGUCGGGACCAUCAUGCAGCACGUGGCAACAGGCGUCAACCGGGUACCUGCCAUCAACGUCGUACACAGGAGCUUCAACUACAAUCAACAGCGGCGCGGGGACAUCUACUGCGGGAACCUCUGGGGACACGGAAGGAGCGUUCCACCAGCAAGUGACCAAUGCUGCCACAAACAAUGCAGAAUCAGUGUCGGGAAUGGCAAUCAUAUCGUUGCAGCAAUGACGAGAAGCACAUAUUUGCACACCAGCACAAGCAACACUCAAGCAGAUGAAACAGCCGCCAAUACUGAAGUGAAUGAUGAAACUGAUGACGAAGCGCAAGGGGAGGAAGAAGAUGGGCAAUCAGAAAUCAUGAUACCUCAAGCACCAUAUGUUGGGCAGAGAUUUGGUUCGUUUGAAGAUGCCAAAGAAUACUACCAGAGAUAUGCAAUGUUCCAUGGGUUUGCGGUGAACACCGAAUACCAUAGGAAAAUAAAAAAAACUAACGAGUACAGCAGAGGUGGGUUAAGGUUCUACAAGGCACGCAGGAACAAGAAGGGUAAAGGUGUUGUUCCUGUCGUGCCGGAACGAAAGAGAGGCAUCGUUCUCAAGACGGAAUGCCCUGUCCGGUACUACUCAGCGCAGGAGGGGUUCAAUGUUGUUUUGAAGCGGUAUGCGAGCCCUGGCAACUCAUUGCUGCAGUUUGCCAAGCAAUACACAACUUUGCAACAGAAAAUACUGGGAUCUGAGCUACAGCAAGAAGCAAACACCGCGCUCAAGCACCCUAAAUUGCUAACAUAUUUACCGAUGGAGAGGCAGAUGAGCAAGAUAUAUACCAACAAGAUUUUUAACAAGUAA